GUCAUUUAUUUAAAAUGGGAAAUAAUUGCAGCAGAUGUGAAUGGGGAAGGGAGGGGAUGAGAGGGAGCAAACAUGUUAGGGGGCUAAUACAGGACUAGUCAGGAGAUGCAAUCAGUAGAGAAAAUAAAGAAAAGAUGGUGGAAGAAAGUGAUUUCUUACUUAUUCAUUUUUUUAAAGUAAGAACUACAAGGUAUGGAAUGUGCUGCCUAGACAGAUUGUAU